AUUGAACGCUGGCGGCAGGCCUAACACAUGCAAGUCGAACGGUAACAGGAGGCAGCUUGCUGCUUCGCUGACGAGUGGCGGACGGGUGAGUAAUGUCUGGGAAACUGCCUGAUGGAGGGGGAUAACUACUGGAAACGGUAGCUAAUACCGCAUAACGUCGCAAGACCAAAGAGGGGGACCUUAGGGCCUCUUGCCAUCGGAUGUGCCCAGAUGGGAUUAGCUAGUAGGUGGGGUAACGGCUCACCUAGGCGACGAUCCCUAGCUGGUCUGAGAGGAUGACCAGCCACACUGGAACUGAGACACGGUCCAGACUCCUACGGGAGGCAGCAGUGGGGAAUAUUGCACAAUGGGCGCAAGCCUGAUGCAGCCAUGCCGCGUGUAUGAAGAAGGCCUUCGGGUUGUAAAGUACUUUCAGCGGGGAGGAAGGGAGUAAAGUUAAUACCUUUGCUCAUUGACGUUACCCGCAGAAGAAGCGCCGGCUAACUCCGUG
rnacentral:rRNA from 1 species